rnacentral:lncRNA from 1 species
CCCUUUCGUUCCACACCCAGAUCCAAUCCGUUCAACUCAUUCCUUGAAAAUUAUUAAAUAACAAUUGUGUAUUUAUUAUUCUUGAAAAAUGGUAGGCGAGAAAUUGGUAAAAAAAUAAAAUCCAAAGGUUGAAUUCAGCGGGGAUGGAGGACGAGACAACUGACGAGCCUCCAACUGCAUUUACUUUUCUGAUAGAGACAAUAAGCGAGAGGGUAGGACAAAAAAGGGGUCUGUCUGGGAUCUGAUGGCAACGAGGAUUUGAAUAUAGGCAAAAGAUGAAGGGCAAAUUGAGGAUGACGAGACUGUCUCGGACGACUAUGUUCUGGAGGAUGCUCUUGAUGGUCCUUCCAUACAAUUGACUAAGGAGGAGAAAAAUUGUAUAUGAAAACCUUGGACUAAUACGUUGACUGUUAUGUCAUUGGGUCGUCCAAUUAGCUAUUCCUAUCUUUGCAAUUGGAUCAAACAAUUGUGGUAGCUUAAAGAAAGCUUUAAGGCAGUGGAUAUAGAUAAUGGAUUCUAUUGUAUCAGAUUUGGUUUGAAAUUGGAUUACAAUUAUUUUUUGGAGAAUGGACCUUGGAUUAUAGUCGACCAUUAAAUGACUGUGAGGAGAUGGAGCCCUGGAUUUCGAUCGGAGGAAGCGACAAUUGAUACUGUAGCUGCAUGGGUUCAUUUUCCUAACUUGCCACUGGAAUUCUACGAUACUUCGAUCUUGAGACGAAUGGGAAACUCAAUUGGCAAGUCGGUCAGGAUCGAUAGAACUACAUCGAACAUAUUGUGAGGCAAGUUCACAAGAAUGUGUGUUGAAUUGGAUUUGACAAAGCCACUUGUUUCGAAAAUAUUCAUAGGGGGACGUUGGCAAAGAGUAGAAUAUGAAAGUUUAAAAAUGCUAUGUUUUUACUGUGGAAUGUUUGGUCAUAAUGAUUUGGAUUGUGAAGUCAAGAGAAAGGAAGAUGAGGGCCAAAUUAAAGAACGGGCACAUAGAAUGGCUGAGAAGGAAAAUUUGUUCACAAGGAGCUUGAGAAUGAAUGGUUUGAACACUGGAUGAUUGUCAAAAAGAUAUAUAAAAGCCUGUGAAUGCCAAAACUGAUGGUAACGAUAAGAAGCCAGUGAAAGAAGUGUCGAGGGAUAACACUGGUGUUAAUAGGUCAGUGCGAUCAAUGAGCUUCAUUUGGGAUGUCUAGGGUGAAUAUUACAAGCGAUAGAGAGGUUCUGAAAAAGAAGCUUCAAGCAUCAGCUCUGGUUUCUAAUAAAGGUACCUCAGAAAAGAGUGAUAAAGGGCAAUGAAUCCAGGACGAUGCAGUUCAAGUUGUUUCUUCUAAGUCUAUAUUUAAAGAGAAAAAAGAGGUAGAAAAAUGAGAGUAUUUUGAGGGAUGUUUCCAAUAAUUAAUAAUCCUCUAGCUAUUCUAGAGCACAUGAGGGAGAGGAUGCAAUGGAUAAUUUUUUAGCACGUCCUCAUACCAAUGAUCCUCUGACUCUUAAAAGAGAUAUGGCUUCAGUUGGAAUAGGAGUUAAUAGGGCGGCUAAAGAAAGACAGACCUUAUGGAUAAUGCUAUUAUCCUAGUGGGGAUGUGAGUGGUAGUAUGGAUUGGAUCCGAUGCCAUGAAGUCUUGAUUUGGAGUCUUAUUACAUUACUCAUUAUUUUAUGCUUAAUAUAAUAAGUUGGAACGUUCUAGGGGCAGCCUCGAAGAGAUGCAUUCGUAAUUUCAAGAAUUUGAUUUCAAUGCAUAGAUUACACAUCUGAAUAGUUUUAGAACCAAGGAUUACAAGGUAUCGUGCUACAAGGACAUGUAAGUAGAUAGGGUUCUUUGCAUCUUUUUAGAGUGGAAGCAAUAGGUUUCUCUAGUAGAAUUUGGCUAUUCUGGAAUUCAAGAGAAGUUGAAGUUGAAAUAUUAGCUUACUUUUCACAACUUAUACAUGCAUUUGUGAGGCAACCAGGCAAGCCUGAAUGGUUGAUAACUGCAGUUUAUGGGAGUCCAGAUGCCGAGGAAAGGAAGUUACUAUGGGGUUCUUUGAAACUUGCUAGCACCUGUCAUCAACUACCUUGGUUAGUUAUUGGUGAUUUUAACCAAGUUAUUUUAGCAAAAGAAAAAUGCACCAGACGAGGUGUUAAUGUUAACCAAUGCCGAAAGAUGGUAGAGUGUAUGAAUUUCUGUAAUUUGCUAGACUUCGAAGCUUCAAGACCAAAAUUUACUUGGUACAACAAAAGGGGGGGUCUGCAGUAUACAAGAGUUAGAAUUGAUCGGCUAUAGCAAAUUCUAAAUGGUUGGAUCUUUUUCAAUCUUUUUUAGUUACUAACUUGCCUAGAACACAUUCAGAUCACCAUCCUAUGUGUAAAGGGUAGCAACCAGGUGAAAAAUAUGAACCAAGAUUUGCCUUUUUCGAUUUGAGUGUGCAUGGAUGUU